rnacentral:rRNA from 1 species
UGCCAGCCGCCGCGGUAAUACAGAGGGUGCGAGCGUUAAUCGGAAUAACUGGGCGUAAAGGGUGCGUAGGUGGAUGAUUAAGUCGAUUGUGAAAGCCCCGGGCUCAACCUGGGAACAGCAAUCGAAACUGGUCAUCUAGAGUAGAGUAGAGGGAAGUGGAAUUUCCGGUGUAGCGGUGAAAUGCGUAGAUAUCGGAAGGAACACCAGUGGCGAAGGCGACUUCCUGGGCCAAUACUGACGCUGAGGUGCGAAAGCGUGGGGAGCAAACAGGAUUAGAUA